rnacentral:misc_RNA from 1 species
GUGGGAGGGGGCUUGCUCCCGAUAGCAGUGUGUCAGUCAGCAUAUCUGAUACUGAUGCACCGCCAUCGGGAGCAAGCCCCCUCCCAC